rnacentral:rRNA from 1 species
ACAGUCUCAGUUCAGAUUGUAGGCUGAAACUCGCCUAUAUGAAGUCGGAAUUGCUAGUAAUCGCAGAUCAGCAUGCUGCGGUGAAUACGUUCCCGGGCCUUGUACACACCGCCCGUCACACCAUGAGAGUCGAUAACACCCGAAGCCUGUAGUCUAACCAUAAGGAGGACGCAGUCGAAGGUGGGAUUGAUAAUUAGGGUGAAGUCGUAACAAGGUAUC